GACGGACCGUACGAACGUUAUUCGGAAUUACUGGGCUUAAAGGGUGCGUAGGCGGCUCAGAAAGUUGAAUGUGAAAGCCCUCGGCUUAACCGAGGAAUUGCAUCCAAAACUACUGGGCUUGAGUGAGACAGAGGUGAGCGGAACUCACGGUGGAGCGGUGAAAUGCGUUGAUAUCGUGAGGAACACCAGUGGCGAAGGCGACUACCUGGCCUGUUCUUGACGCUGAGGCGCGAAAGCUAGGGGAGCAAACGGG
rnacentral:rRNA from 1 species